rnacentral:ncRNA from 1 species
GACAACCAGGACGUUGGCUUAGAAGCAGCCAUGCAUUUAAAGAAUGCGUAAUAGCUCACUGGUCAAGUGGGUUUGCGCCGAAAAUGAACGGGGCUAAAUUCAAUACCGAAGCUUCGGAUUAAUAGAGGGAUUAAGUUUACAAAUGAGACUAGGAAAUAUUUAACAAAAACAAUAACAGAAGAGAUUAUAUAAGAAAUGCAAAUUUCAGACGCAGACAUAAAAGAUAGGAUAUUAAGAUAAGAUAUUCAAAAAACACAAGUCUAAAAGUCAAAGUAGGUAUCAUAAGAAAUUAUGAACUAACAAUCACUGGUUAGAGUUAAAAAACUAGGACUCAUAGCUAAACUUAAUACCUCUAUUACUGGUAGAGGAGCAUUGUAUUAGAGACGAAGCCAAGGCGAAAAGCAAAAGUGGAUUUAAUACAAGAGAGAAUGCUGGCAUGAGUAGCGAGAAGGGAUGUGAGAAUCAUCCCCGUGAAACCCUAAGGUCUCCUGAGCAAGGCUCGUCCCCUCAGGGAAAGUCGGGACCUAAGCUAAGGCCGAAAGGCGUAGGCGAUGGAUAACAGGUUUAUAUUCCUGUACCGCUUGAAGUCGAUAUGAGAGAAGUGAUGACGCAAAAGGAUAAUCAAAGCCAUCUGAUGGAUGAUGGUCUAAAGCCGUAGGAAGAAAGGUAGGCAAAUCCGCCUUUCACAAAUUCUGAAAGCCUAUAGGUAUCGAAAACAUAAGUAGAGAAGUUGAUGACUCCAUGUUGCCAAGAAAAGUCACUAUCCAGACCAAAGCGCCCGUACCAAAACCGACACAGGUAGGGAGGUAGAGAAUACCAAGACGCGCGGAAGAACCUUUGUUAAGGAACUCGGCAAAAUGUCCCCGUAACUUCGGGAGAAGGGGAGCCUGAGAGAUCAGGCCACAGAAACCAGGCCCAAGCGACUGUUUACCAAAAACACAAGUUUCUGCAAAAUCGCAAGAUGAAGUAUAGGAGCUGACACCUGCCCGGUGCUGGAAGGUUAAGGGGAAGGCUUAGAGCAAUCGAAGGCUAGAACUUAAGCCCCAGUAAACGGCGGCCGUAACUAUAACGGUCCUAAGGUAGCGAAAUUCCUUGUCGGGUAAGUUCCGACCCGCACGAAAGGUGUAACGAUUUGGGCACUGUCUCAACAAAGGAUCCGGUGAAAUUGUA